ACACAGCUGCCACAGGUUAAACCAGGGACUAGAACUGCAUCUCUAAAUAGUAUUCAUUUGUAUAAUGUUAACGAGUUCAGAUAGCUACAUGAAACAAUUGUAUAUGUAGUUAUCACCAGCAGGCUAGUUUGAAGCUAGUGGCCGGAAAGAUAUUUUGCAACAAGCGGUGAAUUCUACCGACCCGAGCGAUGACUAGUUUUCAACUUUCUAAAUAUUUUACAUGCAUCAUUUCACAACCGUACUCACCUUAAGGUAAUACACCUAUAGGAUCGUGUAGUUGCUCGCUAAAUGUUGAUCGUUUCAAGUUUUUUAAUUCAAUUCCUGUUUACCAUCACAUGACAAACCACAUGAUUCAUCUUCCCUGCAGAGUGUUUGUGGACCACUAGGUGGCGACGAAGUCAAGACGAAGAGCAGGGGGCUUUUCUUCUUCGUGGGAAUUUUCUGCCGCUUCUUCUUCUUCGUUGCUAUUAUGGCGGUCCGCAAACAAAUAUUGGCACUUUGUAUCCCCAGCUGCAUUGGCAACCCCACAGUGCUUUCUCUAUCCCAGCUUUACACUCCUAUCCUGCACAGUUCUCACAUCUUGGGAUCUCCCUUCUUCACACUGCUGCAACACCUCUGAAUCCUUGGCACCUAAAGCACCGUAACGGGUUUGGAACAUACUGUAGGCCCUCACAGAAUAGCAACUAUAACCUUACGUCACCUUAUCCAACCUGGACUUAAGGGGUAAACGUAACAUAGUAAAUGUAACUACAGGACGUUCCAAUUAGUGUGACAUGUUUAAGUUUCGCAUGGUAUGUAUUAACUUGUGGAUGUACAUUUUACAUUUCGACUGAUAUGUUAUGAAUCACAAUUCGUACGAUAUGUUACAAAUUGCAAUUCAUAUAAUGUGUUAAAAAUGUGCAAAAAACAUAUAUGUAACGAAUUCCUAUUUUUUGUAACUAAUGUUAUAUAGGUGGCUAGGUAGCUAAUCAUUAAUGUUAGCUUGGUGGCUAAGGUUAGAUAAGCUAGGGGAUUAGGG
rnacentral:lncRNA from 1 species